rnacentral:rRNA from 1 species
UACGUAGGAGGCGAGCGUUGUCCGGAAUUAUUGGGCGUAAAGAGCUCGUAGGCGGCUUGUCACGUCGGGUGUGAAAGCCCGGGGCUUAACCCCGGGUCUGCAUUCGAUACGGGCAGGCUAGAGUGUGGUAGGGGAGAUCGGAAUUCCUGGUGUAGCGGUGAAAUGCGUAGAUAUCUGGAGGAAUACCGGUGGCGAAGGCGGCAUCCUGGACCGGCAUUGACGCUGAGUGAGCGAAAGCCAGGGGAGCAAACGGG